rnacentral:rRNA from 1 species
GAUCAUGGUCAGGAUGAACGCUGGCGGCGUGCUUAACACAUGCAAGUCGAACGAAGCACUUAAGAUUGAUUCUUCGGAUGACGUCUUUUGUGACUUAGUGGCGGACGGGUGAGUAACGCGUGGGUAACCUGCCUCACACAGGGGGAUAACAGUUAGAAAUGACUGCUAAUACCGCAUAACCCGAUAGGAUCGCAUGAUCCAGACGGAAAAGAUUUAUCGGUGUGAGAUGGACCCGCG